AGUAAUGUUCCCAGAAUUAUUACAAAUAGAUUUCAUUGCACCCUUUUUCUUUUCUCUGUUUGAAUAGGCAGUUUGCAGCAGAUGUCAUUGCACAGAUGUUACUUGAGUUAGAAUUGUCAGAAUCAUUUCACAGUCUCCAGCAAGCUGUUGCCAAUGAAAAGGAAAGAAAGGCCAACUUAUAUAAUGUUAUAACCAGGCAGCAAGCAUGGGGAAUUUUGUCUUUACGAGAUAAGGAUGGACCUGGGCAGACAAGAUGUGGACUCUUUUAACAUUAAAUAUAGAAACACUGGCAAAUGCUUAAUAUUUGAAGCUCCAAGCGUGGUGGAGAGCUAUGAUAGUGUGGAAAGGGCGAGGAAGCUACAAGAAAACGAAAAAAAAAUCCGGCAAGGAAAAAGGCAAAGCCAAAAAAUGGUGGCAAAAAUAAAUGAUCUCCUCCUCGAUUCUUCCCUUCUGUCAAGAAGCGGACAAGGGUUUGCAAAUUUUCAGCUUACAAGCUUCUAGUCAAGAACAAAUGAGAUGUAUAAUAAAAAGGUGCUAUGAACAAAAAUGCGCCUAUGAUUUAGUUACACAAGCUGUCGUUGGAUAAUUAUGCGCACAUCAGCAAAAACGACAACUUCAUAUUUUUAAAACUGCAGCUUUUAAUUCAAA